rnacentral:tRNA from 1 species
GAGACAGUGGUGUAAGGCGAACAUCGCUGCCCGGAAAGCAGAAGAUGCGGGUUGGAGUCCCGCCUGCCGCA